AGUCUGAGACCUGAUGCCGAGCCGAUUGUGGUGAAGUGGAUGAUCCUAUGCUGUCGAGAAAAGCCUCUAGCGAGUUUCAUGGCGGCCCGUACCCUAAACCGACUCAGGUGGUCAGGUAGAGAAUACCGAGGCGUUCGGGUGAACUAUGGUUAAGGAACUCGGCAAAAUGCCCCCGUAACUUCGGGAGAAGGGGGGCCAUCACUGGUGAUCCGAUUUACUCGGUGAGCUGGGGGUGGCCGCAGAGACCAGCGAGAAGCGACUGUUUACUAAAAACACAGGUCCGUGCGAAGCCGUAAGGCGAUGUAUACGGACUGACGCCUGCCCGGUGCUGGAACGUUAAGGGGACCGGUUAGCUGCCUUUCGGGGUGGCGAAGCUGAGAACUUAAGCGCCAGUAAACGGCGGUGGUAACUAUAACCAUCCUAAGGUAGCGAAAUUCCUUGUCGGGUAAGUUCCGACCUGCACGAAUGGCGUAACGACUUCUCGACUGUCUCAACCAUAGGCCCGGUGAAAUUGCACUACGAGUAAAGAUGCUCGUUUCGCGCAGCAGGACGGAAAGACCCCGGGACCUUUACUAUAGUUUGAUAUUGGUGUUCGGUUCGGCUUGUGUAGGAUAGGUGGGAGACUGUGAAGCGGCCACGCCAGUGGUUGUGGAGUCGUCGUUGAAAUACCACUCUGGUCGUGCUGGAUGUCUAACCUGGGUCCGUGAUCCGGAUCAGGGACAGUGUCUGAUGGGUAGUUUAACUGGGGCGGUUGCCUCCUAAAGAGUAACGGAGGCGCCCAAAGGUUCCCUCAGCCUGGUUGGUAAUCAGGUGUUGAGUGUAAGUGCACAAGGGAGCUUGACUGUGAGACCGACGGGUCGAGCAGGGACGAAAGUCGGGACUAGUGAUCCGGCAGUGGCUUGUGGAAGCGCUGUCGCUCAACGGAUAAAAGGUACCCCGGGGAUAACAGGCUGAUCUUCCCCAAGAGUCCAUAUCGACGGGAUGGUUUGGCACCUCGAUGUCGGCUCGUCGCAUCCUGGGGCUGGAGUCGGUCCCAAGGGUUGGGCUGUUCGCCCAUUAAAGCGGUACGCGAGCUGGGUUUAGAACGUCGUGAGACAGUUCGGUCCCUAUCCGCUGUGCGCGUAGGAAUAUUGAGAAGGGCUGUCCCUAGUACGAGAGGACCGGGACGGACGAACCUCUGGUGUGCCAGUUGUCCUGCCAAGGGCAUGGCUGGUUGGCUACGUUCGGAAAGGAUAACCGCUGAAAGCAUCUAAGCGGGAAGCCUGCUUCGAGAUGAGUAUUCCCACC
rnacentral:rRNA from 1 species